rnacentral:rRNA from 1 species
UACGUAGGUGGCGAGCGUUGUCCGGAAUUACUGGGUGUAAAGGGCGUGUAGGCGGGAGAUGAAGUCAGAUGUGAAAUUCCCAGGCUCAACUUGGGGGCUGCAUCUGAAACUAAUAUUCUUGAGUGCUGGAGAGGAAAGCGGAAUUCCUAGUGUAGCGGUGAAAUGCGUAGAUAUUAGGAGGAACACCAGUGGCGAAGGCGGCUUUCUGGACAGUAACUGACGCUGAGGCGCGAAAGCGUGGGGAGCAAACAGG